AUUUUUUUAAACCCAUAGGCGCAAUGAAAGUAAAAGUACGGCGAACUUCGGUUCAGCCGGCUUAGGGAAGAUGGCCGUACGGCGCGGCAUCUUCGUAUGUCGCGUUUGUCGGUCCGCAUUCCCGGCGCGUCUCGUGCCCGCUGCGGUGCUUGCACCGUAACGUGCUGAGGCGCAGCUAGAGCGUACACGCUGGGACCCGAAAGAUGGUGAACUAUGCCUGGUCAGGACGAAGUCAGGGGAAACCCUGAUGGAGGUCCGUAGCGAUUCUGACGUGCAAAUCGAUCGUAAGAACUGGGUAUAGGGGCGAAAGACUAAUCGAACCAUCUAGUAGCUGGUUCCCUCCGAAGUUUCCCUCAGGAUAGCUGGCACUCUUUUAUAAUUUGCGAGUCUCAUCCGGUAAAGCGAAUGAUUAGAGGCAUUGGGGUCGAAACGACCUCAACCUAUUCUCAAACUUUAAAUGGGUGAGAUCUCCAGCUUGCUUAAGCGAAGCUGCGAGAUUCACGGAUCAGAGUGCCAAGUGGGCCAUUUUUGGUAAGCAGAACUGGCGCUGCGGGAUGAACCGAACGCAGAGUUAAAGCGCCUAAAUAGACGCUCAUGGGAUACCAUGAAAGGCGUU
rnacentral:rRNA from 1 species